GUUCCAGACUCCUACGGGAGGCAGCAGUGGGGAAUAUUGGACAAUGGGGGGAACCCUGAUCCAGCGACGCCGCGUGAGUGAAGAAGUAUUUCGGUAUGUAAAGCUCUAUCAGCAGGGAAGAAAGAAAUGACGGUACCUGACUAAGAAGCCCCGGCUAACUACGUGCCAGCAGCCGCGGUAAUACGUAGGGGGCAAGCGUUAUCCGGAUUUACUGGGUGUAAAGGGAGCGUAGACGGCGAUGCAAGUCUGAUGUGAAAACCCGGGGCUCAACCCCGGGACUGCAUUGGAAACUGUCGGACUAGAGUGUCGGAGAGGCAAGUGGAAUUCCUAGUGUAGCGGUGAAAUGCGUAGAUAUUAGGAGGAACACCAGUGGCGAAGGCGGCUUACUGGACUGUAAAUGACGCUGAGGCUCGAAAGCGUGGGGAGCAAACAGGAUUAGAUACCCCUGUACCU
rnacentral:rRNA from 1 species